UCUAAGCAGUGUAGGCCCAGUAACCAUUUUUUGAAGCCAAGACCUAAACAUCAGAUGGGAAGUCUGACUAGAACUUUUAAGGUGCCGGUCCAGUGAUAAGAUACUAUGGCUCAGUGGUAAAACUGAAGAGAAAUCUUGGGAAAAGGAGAAGGCAUGUAAUUCCAUCUGAAGGAUUUAUGCUAGUUCAAGAGAUAAGAGGAGCCAUUUUCUUCUCAAGCUUCUCAUGCAACUGAUUCAGAGGAAGAAAUAGCUAUCUGCCCAAACCCUUAGUCAUGGAGGCUCCCUCACUCCCUUGUGCGACUGACUGGUUAAGUUAAAGUAAAUGCAGUAGAUCACAUCAUGUCAUAAAAUGAAUUUUUAAGAAUUAAAAGCACGGGGAGCCAAAGAGGAGACAACAGCAACAAAAUUUGAGAAGUUUUAGCUGGAAAAGUGGAAGAGUGGUAAAAGAUGUAGUAGACUAACAAAACUGAAUCUUAAGGCAGAAAUGAAGUAAAUCAAUAACCAAACCCAUGUAUACUGCACUGUCACCAAAAGACUCAUAACUGCCAGCUCCCGGUUCCUCUUGAAGUGAAGUGAGGAAAGGGGGAAGUACUAUAAGGAGGAUUGGUUGCAAAUCUGUUUAAUAAGAGGCAAUCAGAUCCCCCAGAUUCCCUUCUCGGCUCCAUGUAGUCAAGCAAACAAACCUCCUCACUUACCUGGGCAAAAUACUACAAACUUCCUCUCUGCAGAUGGUGAUAUGGCAGGUCUCUAGAGGGUAGGGGGAUUAAGUGAACAUUUGUAUAUUGGAUGCUGAGGACCCCAAAUUUCUUCACCAACUUGGCUCCCAGAUUCCAGUCAUGAAGCUUUCAACUUCCAAGGAAGAGAUUAGAAGAUCCUUCUAUGUGGAGUCUGAUCAACUCAAGAGGAAGGAUCUGAAGACACUGACAUGGAAGGUUCCCCAACUAUAAGCCCCAACAAAUCACUCUACAGGGAAGUUGACAGCUGACAACCCCCCACCCAUUCACUCAGAGUUUCCCAUAAGCAUUUUGAGGCCCUAUUCUUAAAUAUGAGCAGACAACAAAGGAUGAUCAGACAUGUGAGGGAAGCUACUAUUAUGUGAGACAUUUAGAGCACUUAGAAUUGAAAACAGGAGAGUAUAAAUGGGAAAAAAAAAAAAAAAAAAAAAAAAAAACCUUGAUAAAAAGGAUUGGAAGAGAAAGUUAAGGAAAUGUUCUAUAAGGCAGAGCAAAAGGCAGAGAGGACCAGUUCAGGAAGUUCAAAAUCCAAACAAUAAGGGCUCCAGAAAGCAAGAUGAGGGGGAAAAAAUGAGGAAAAUCAUCAAUGGAAUAAACUAAGAAAUAUUUCCAGAAUUAAAGUACAUGAGUUAAUUAAUUAAAUCGGUUCCCCAAGUACCCACCACAGUGGAUAAAAAGAGAUCUAUACCAAAGCAUGUGAUCAGGAAAUUUGAGCACACACUAACCAAAGAGAAGACCUUCGAGCUUCUAGAGAGAACACAAAACAGAACAAAUACAAAGGACUAAAAAUCAAAAUGGCAUCCAUUAUUUAACAACACUGGAACCCAGAGUGCAAUGGAACAAGGCCUUCAAACAUCCUGAAGAAAAAAAAAUAUUUGCUAAAUGAAUUAAUAAUUUGGAAGUCUUUUAAAAAUAACUCUGUAUAUCAUUUUAAAACCAAAUAUUCCUCCUCUCUGGUUUGGGUCAAUGUGAGUUAGGGAUACAGAGAUAUACCCAACUGGGUCCC
ensembl:lncRNA